rnacentral:rRNA from 1 species
AAGAAAGUAAGAAAGGGCGCAUGGCGGAUGCCUUGGCUCACGGAGGCGAUGAAGGACGUGAUAAGCUGCGAUAAGCCUUGGGUAGGUGCAAAUAACCUUUGAUCCAAGGAUUUCCGAAUGGGACAACCCAGCAGGUUGAAGACCUGUUAUCACUACAAUAGUAGUGAGGCGAACGAAGGGAACUGAAACAUCUUAGUACCUUUAGGAAGAGAAAAUAAAUAAUGAUUCCCCUAGUAGUGGCGAGCGAACGGGGAAUAGCCCAAACCUGCUUUGUGGCAACGCUUAGCAGGGGUUGUAGGACCACGCUGUCGUACUUAGAUUGUGAGAAGAAUGUUCUGGAAAGAACAAUCAUAGAGGGUGAUAAUCCCGUAUUCGAAGCAUGACGAGACGUAGUGGUAUCCUGAGUAACGCGGAACACGUGAAAUUCUGCGCGAAUCUGCCGGGACCAUCCGGUAAGGCUAAAUACUCCCGUGAGACCGAUAGUGCA